AUCUCUUUGUCUUCUAUUAAUCUCUAUCUAUACAGCUUUGUCACCAACCAUUUCUUCUUUUAUAUUUUCCCUACUUUGAAGUAGUUUGAGGAGGAAAAAAACAAAACAAAACACAAAAACCUCAAAUCUGUUAACUUGAAUUUAUGGUUUCCUUUCUUCCUUCCCCCUUUUCUCCUCUUUUUUUCUUUUUUUCUUCCUCUCUUUCUUUCCUUUCUUAACACAGGUAAGACCUAUAACAAACUGACAGAACCAAGUUAAACCAAACCUGGAAGGGAGGUAGCCAGAAUCUGUCUCAAAGAAUUAUUUUCAACAAAUAGCAUAGAAGCAUUGGCCAAGGUGGGAAAAAGACCAAGAGCACUGUCUAGGCAGUGACUCAAAAUGCUGAAGCCAGGAGAAGCAGCUCCAUCCUCAGAGCCCUGCUAGUUACAGCCGCUCAUCUCCCUCUUUCAUAACACCCCCCAUUCAGCCUCCAGAAUGGACUUCCAAGGGUUGUCUUUCCUUAAAACGUGGUUGGCACAGAAUCUAGGGGCUAACACAGGUCCUCUAGCAGCCAGUAGGGCCGUGGCUUGGAAAGUCUUCCUAAGAGAAGGCUUGGCGAACGGUCUACCUUAUCUUUUCUUUCUUGCUGUUAACAGGCUAAUCCUUCUUCAGAACCUCCACGUUCUGAAGAAAGUUCUGAAGAAGCUAAUCCAUCUUCAGAACUGCCAAGUGCUUUAGAACCUCUGAGCUGCUGAUAGACAAGAGCCUCCUCCUGUGAGUACUCCACUGUCCUAAACUGGAGCUGAUAAAGGGGUGAGAGAAUGAGUUUAUACCCAGAAAGAAAAUGAAGCCGAGUGUAAGUGCACUGCAUACAGAGCUGACUGUCCUCCGCUAAGGUAUGAGAAGGACCUGUUAGUGACACCUUGCAUGUGGGACUGAGGCUGCCCACCCAUCAGGCAGCCUCUCCCACCUAAUAUGCCUGGCAAAUAGGAAUUUGUGAGUAACAGGUUUGAAUGAUGGUGAGGAGGAGACUGGGAAACACUUUGCUGAGAAGGGCUUGAUCAAUCUGAGACUCUGAAGGUAGAAGUCAGCUGCAGACUGUGUGUGAAUGGAGGAGGAAAAAGCAUGAGAGUGGACUGAAAGGAAGCUGGUGAGGUUCUGCUGUGAUUCCUGCCACCCCACCGUCAGGAAUGUUGUCUUUAGGUCUCCCAGGCUCUUUGUGUUACUUACUGAUGUUAAAAAAAGCAACUGGGAGAGCCAACUGUGUUAACAUCUUACCUCAUUUGUUCCUUCCCAUCUAGCACCACUCAGGUUGAUAACUCAGCAAGGGCAUUAGGGGACUUGAAGAGUUGGCAAGAGUUCUAAGAUACUGGAGAGGGGUACAAAGUGGAAUCGAUGCUUAUACGAUUAUUAUUCUCUUGCCAAAGAUUGGUCCUGGUAAUUAAAGGAAAAAAAAAUGCCCUCAGUAUAAAUGAGAUACAAGUUUGUAAGAAGGAGACAUAAUGGAUUUGAGUCAGGCCUUAACAAUGGCAUGCCUGGAAC
ensembl:lncRNA